rnacentral:rRNA from 1 species
UACACACCGCCCGUCACAUCACGAAAGUGGUCCGUACUAGAAGCCGGUGCUCUAACCCGCAAGGGGAGAAGCCGUCCAAGGUAUGAAUCAUGAUUGGGGUU